ensembl:lncRNA
GUUAAUUAAGGUCUAGUUAAAGUCUGGACUUAAGUGUCAUUGAGAAGCUUUGAUGUGACCGUAAAUGAGCCGUUUUGCUUGAAAAGCCUCCAAUGUGUCUGAAUUAAAGCAAUUGUGCAAAGAAGAGUGGGCCAUAUUUCCUCCACAGUUAUGUGAAUGACUCAUUAUCACAAACAACUGACUGCAGUUCUUCAUCCAGCUAAUAUUGUUUAGAGGGAAAUAAGGUUUUUCACACAGGGGCAGGUAGGUUUGGAUAACUUUUUUUUUUUUUUUAAUCUUAAUGACUAAGUCAUCAUUUAGAACUUUCUAUUUACUCAGGUCUAAUAUUAAAAUUAGUUUGAAGAACUGAAACAUGGAAGUGUGACAAAUAUCCAUACAAACAAACAAAUCAGGAAUUUGUAUUUCAGUCAGAGAUCUUUAAAAUCCUUCUGUCCGUCCAUCUCCUUCCACUUAUCCAAUUUAGGUUGGAGUUGGGAGUUUAUCCCAGUCCUAUGACAGCUGGGGUGGACUCCAUAUAACCUCAUGUAAAUUCUGGGACAUAAAAGGUUAUCUGAAGUAUUAAAUGUUGUGAAUUCUUUAUGGGGUAAAAAAAAAAAAAAAAAGACAACUUAAGAUGAUUGAUAACACAAAAAUAAGAGAAAAACUGGGAGUUUUCGCUUGAACGCUCUCUAGACGUGAUCGCCUGCAUUACUCGAGAUGCAGCAUGAUGAGCUUCAGGUAAUGAGAUUUCUCCCCCCCCCCUCCUGUAUAAAAAUGCAUAUAUAACAUUCUGGAAACAAACUCUUCAAAUACAGACAUCAAAACAAAUGGUGAAUUAAGGCACGGCACUCACUGCCUUGUUCUGAGAGCAUGGCCUUGAGCUACCGAUUUUUAAACUGUGCCACCGUUAAUUUAUGCGAAGAUCUGAACUAAUUCUUUGGCAACUGUGAAGCGAGAAUAUUAACGCGAUGUAUUUCCUUGUCGAUGAUAAUGCUGCGCUCUUAAUUUGAGAUGUGCGGUGUAGUCGAACAUGAAAUGGAAAUUUGCCCCAAACUAUGUAUUUGUCACUGAACGUCGGAUGUGGAAUGAGGUUAUAUGCAUCCUUUGCUACCCACACUCCUAAGAUACAAGAAGAGGUGUAUUUCUCUCACACACUUUAGGGUGUGCGUAUGGAGAAAGCGUCAACUUACAGCCCCGUACAGAAUAUAUUAUAUACACGUAUAUUUUUUUAACCCGUGCAUUUGCAUAGUUUGUGUAUGCAAAGAGGAGCUUGUCUUGAAAAAUAAGAUAAUCAAACAGGCAGGUUUCCCUAAAGCAUCUAAAGACUCCUCUGAGGCCACAGCGCAUUUCUGUAAACAUUAAAUCAUCACUUGAUCGACAUUUAUUUUAUAC